CUUCUAGUAAAAUAGAAUCAUAAGCUCCGUGAGGGCAGAAGGCAAAUCCGUCUUGUUUACCAGUUCUUUCGUGCUUCCUUAGCCCCGGUUCUCUCCAAAGAUCCAUGAGGGCAUCCCUGUCAACAGCAGCUCAUUGUAAGAGUCAAUACUCUCUAGACAUUCUGCCUCUUAUUCCCAGGAGCACCAAGCAGCUGCUGUCAAUUUCUUGUCUUCCUCUUCCUACCAGGCCUCUAGGUCCCAGGGAUGGUUCCAAGAGGAAGAAGCGAUAAUGCUGACAAGAGAAAAAAGAAAGAAGGAGAGCGGCAAGGACUCUCCCUUCAGAGCCGUGAGAGCGCAGCGGUCACCCUGCCCAGCAGCCCUCACCCCUGCCUGCUGCCUCUGCGGGCUGCUGGACCAGAGGAGCCUGGGCAGCGGCGUGCCAGCUGGUGCCUUCUCCCUCCUUGCUCCUGUGUCAACUUUCCCUUCUUUUCUUCAUUCAACAGACGUUUGUUGAGAGUCAGCGUGUGCCUGCCCUGUGCUAGGCAGGGGCACGGCCAGCGCCCGGCCCUCAUGGAAUUCGUUAGCCCGUUAGUCCCUCCUGCCUUUCCCUCAUUUUCUGUCUCAUUCUCCAUAUGUCUCUUACUCCUCUUCUCCUUAUACUUCUCUAGUUUUAUUUGUUAAAGGGACACUAUUUAAAAAUUUUUUUCGAUGUCCAUGUUUCAAUUUUUUGGACCCACACAGAGGGAAUUUAGAGUUAGAGGGUUUUGGCGCAGCUAACUGACCCAGCCCUGUCCCCAAUGGCCUCCUCUCUUCCUGAGACCCAGGCUGAGUCUACCCAAGGAAAUGAGGCAACGUGAGAGCUGUGCACCCUCCCUAUCUGUACUCUUGCUACUGGCUGUGAGAGAAGGUGCUGCUGCCCAAGGAGGUGUGUGUGUGUGUGUGUGUGUGUGUGUGUGUGUGUGUGUGUGUGUGUUUAGGAGGUCCGUGGGGAGAUGGCAGAGAGAUGCCCUGCCUGGAGGCACUAAAGUCCCCCAAGCCCAUUGGGCCACUUGGUGAUGUCUGAAUGCAGCUCCCGAGUUUGCUCUUGAGAAUGCUUCUGUUCCUCCUCUUGGAAACUUUGUCUAAACUCCAUCGGGAUGCUAUGGGUCUUAUGUGUUUUCUAUACCAGGAUGUUUGGGGGUCCUGCCUCUGACCUGUCUGAUCCAAGGAAAGGUUCUCCUUAUAAACAGAUGGAA
rnacentral:lncRNA from 1 species